rnacentral:rRNA from 1 species
UACGUAGGGGGCAAGCGUUGUCCGGAUUUAUUGGGCGUAAAGAGCGUGUAGGCGGCUUACUAAGUCAGGGGUGAAAUCCUGGAGCUCAACUCCAGAACUGCCUUUGAUACUGAAGAUCUUGAGUUCGGGAGAGGUGAGUGGAACUGCGAGUGUAGAGGUGAAAUUCGUAGAUAUUCGCAAGAACACCAGUGGCGAAGGCGGCAUACUGGGCCACUUCUGACGCUGAUGCGCGAAAGCCAGGGAGCGGAACGGG